rnacentral:rRNA from 1 species
UACGUAGGGAGCAAGCGUUGUCCGGAAUCAUUGGGCGUAAAGCGCGCGUAGGUGGCCUCAUAAGUCCGCUGUGAAAGUCAAAGGCUCAACCUUUGAAAGCCGGUGGAUACUGUGAGGCUAGAGUACGGAAGAGGCGAGUGGAAUUCCUGGUGUAGCGGUGGAAUGCGCAGAUAUCAGGAGGAACACCAAUAGCGAAGGCAGCUCGCUGGAACGUUACUGACGCUGAGACGCGAAAGCGUGGGGAGCAAACAGG